rnacentral:rRNA from 1 species
CGUAGGGUGCGAGCGUUAAUCGGAAUUACUGGGCGUAAAGCGUGCGCAGGCGGUUUGUUAAGAUAGGCGUGAAAUCCCCGGGCUCAACCUGGGAACUGCGCUUAUGACUGGCAAGCUAGAGUACGGCAGAGGGGGUGGAAUUCCACGUGUAGCAGUGAAAUGCGUAGAGAUGUGGAGGAACACCAAUGGCGGAGGCAGCCCCCUGGGUCGAUACUGACGCUCAUGCACGAAAGCGUGGGUAGCAAACAGGAUUAGAUACCCUGGUAGUCCACGCCCUAAACGAUGUCAACUAGGUGUUGGGAGGGUAAAACCUUUUAGUACCGGAGCUAACGCGUGAAGUUGACCGCCUGGGGAGUACGGCCGCAAGGUUA